rnacentral:ncRNA from 1 species
CAACCUCAACUCAUAUGGGACUACCCCCUGAAUUUAAGCAUAUUAAUUAGGGGAGGAAAAGAAACUAACAAGGAUUUUCUUAGUAGCGGCGAGCGAAAAGAAAUCAGUUCAGCACUAAGUCACUUUGUCUAUAUGGCAAAUGUGAGAUGCAGUGUACGGAACAUCAACAUUCUAGUAUGAGAAGUUAACGAUUUAAGUCCUUCUUAAAUGAGGCCAUUUACCCAUAGAGGGUGCCAGGCCCGUAUAACGUUAAUGAUUACUAGAUGGUGUUUCCAAAGAGUCGUGUUGCUUGAUAGUGCAGCACUAAGUGGGUGGUAAACUCCAUCUAAAACUAAAUAUAACCAUGAGACCGAUAGUAAACAAGUACCGUGAGGGAAAGUUGAAAAGAACUCUGAAUAGAGAGUUAAAUAGUACGUGAAACUGCUUAGAGGUUAAGCCCGAUGAACCUGAAUAUCCGUUAUGGAAAAUUCAUCAUUAGAAUUGUAAUAUUUUAAACAAUAUUAUAAUAAUAGUGUGCAUUUUUUCCAUAUAAGGACAUUGUAAUCUAUUAGCAUAAAUAUUUAUCAUA